UGAUCAUGGCUCAGAGUGACCGCUGGCGGUAGGCCUAACACAUGCAAGUCGAACGGCAGCACAGAGGAGCUUGCUCCUUGGGUGGCGAGUGGCGGACGGGUGAGGAAUACAUCGGAAUCUACUCUGUCGUGGGGGAUAACGUAGGGAAACUUACGCUAAUACCGCAUACGACCUACGGGUGAAAGCAGGGGAUCUUCGGACCUUGCGCGAUUGAAUGAGCCGAUGUCGGAUUAGCUAGUUGGCGGGGUAAAGGCCCACCAAGGCGACGAUCCGUAGCUGGUCUGAGAGGAUGAUCAGCCACACUGGAACUGAGACACGGUCCAGACUCCUACGGGAGGCAGCAGUGGGGAAUAUUGGACAAUGGGCGCAAGCCUGAUCCAGCCAUACCGCGUGGGUGAAGAAGGCCUUCGGGUUGUAAAGCCCUUNAGUUGGGAAAGAAAUCCAGCUGGCUAAUACCCGGUUGGGAUAGACGGUAUCCAAAGGAAUAAAGCACCGGANUAACUUCGUNGCCAAGCAGACCUGCAGGGUAAUACGAAAGGGUGCAAAGCGUUACUCGGGAAUUACUGGGCGUAAAAGCGUGCGGUACGGUGGUCGGUUCACGGUCCGGUUUCGGUGAAAAGCCCUU
rnacentral:rRNA from 1 species